UACGAGGGGGGCAAGCGUUGUUCGGAAUUACUGGGCGUAAAGCGCGUGUAGGUGGUCAUUCUAGUCAGGCGUGAAAGCCUCGAGCUCAACGUCGAGAAAUGCGCUUGAUACUGGAUGACUAGAGGACCGGAGAGGAUAGUGGAAUUCCCAGUGUAGUGGUGAAAUACGUAGAGAUUGGGAAGAACACCAGUGGCGAAGGC
rnacentral:rRNA from 1 species